rnacentral:rRNA from 1 species
UGAGCAACCUGCCCCGAAGACCGGGAUAACACCGGGGAAACCGGUGCUAAUACCGGAUGCCCUCAUCAUGUCGCAUGGCGAGAUGAGGAAAUGGAUUCCGCUUCGGGAUGGGCUCGCGGCCUAUCAGCUUGUUGGUGGGGUAAUGGCCUACCAAGGCGACGACGGGUAGCCGGCCUGAGAGGGUGACCGGCCGCACUGGGACUGAGACACGGCCCAGACUCCGUACGGGAGCAGCAG